CCCCGUGGCGGGCGUGCUAUACAUGCAGUCGAGCGGACAGAAGGGAGCUUGCUCCCGGAUGUUAGCGGCGGACGGGUGAGUAACACGUGGGUAACCUGCCUGUAAGACUGGGAUAACUCCGGGAAACCGGAGCUAAUACCGGAUAGUUCCUUGAACCGCAUGGUUCAAGGAUGAAAGACGGUUUCGGCUGUCACUUGCAGAUGGACCCGCGGCGCAUUAGCUAGUUGGUGAGGUAACGGCUCACCAAGGCGACGAUGCGUAGCCGACCUGAGAGGGUGAUCGGCCACACUGGGACUGAGACACGGCCCAGACUCCUACGGGAGGCAGCAGUAGGGAAUCUUCCGCAAUGGACGAAAGUCUGACGGAGCAACGCCGCGUGAGUGAUGAAGGUUUUCGGAUCGUAAAGCUCUGUUGUUAGGGAAGAACAAGUGCAAGAGUAACUGCUUGCACCUUGACGGUACCUAACCAGAAAGCCACGGCUAACUACGUGCCAGCAGCCGCGGUAAUACGUAGGUGGCAAGCGUUGUCCGGAAUUAUUGGGCGUAAAGGGCUCGCAGGCGGUUUCUUAAGUCUGAUGUGAAAGCCCCCGGCUCAACCGGGGAGGGUCAUUGGAAACUGGGAAACUUGAGUGCAGAAGAGGAGAGUGGAAAUUCCACGUGUAGCGGUGAAAUGCGUAGAGAUGUGGGAGGGAACACCAGGUGGGCGAAAGCGACUCUCUGGGUCUGUAACUGACGCUGAGAGCGAAAGCGUGGGGAGCGAAACAGGAUUAGAUACCCUGGUAGUCCACGCCGUAACGAUGAGUGCUAAGUGUUAGGGGGUUUCCGCCCCUUUAGUGCUGCAGCUAACGCAUUAAGGCACUCCGCCCUGGGGGAGUACGUUCGGCAGGACUGGAAACUUCAAAUGAAUGACGGGGCCGGCCACAAGCGUUGAGCAUGUGAUUACUUCGAGCCACGCGAGAUCAUAACAGUCCUGACAGUCAUCUGACAUCCUUAAAGAAUCGCUUACAUCAGGACUGAGUGACACGUGGUGCCAUGGUAUGUCCGUCA
rnacentral:rRNA from 1 species